GAUGAACGCUGGCGGCGUGCCUAAUACAUGCAAGUCGAGCGAACAGACGAGGAGCUUGCUCCGCUGACGUUAGCGGCGGACGGGUGUGUAACACGUGGAUAACCCACCUAUAAGACUGGGAUAACUUCGGGAAACCGGAGCUAAUACCGGACAAUCUAUCCAACCGCAUGGUUCAAUAGUGAAAGACGGUUUUGCUUGCACUGAUACACGGAUCAGCGCCGGAUUAGCUGGUUGGUAAGGUAACGGCCUACCAAGGCAGCGAUGCGUAGACAACGUGAGAGGGGGAUCGGCCACACUGGAACUGAGACACGGUCCAGACUCCUACGGGAGGCAGCAGUCGGGAAUCUUACGCAAUGGGGGAAAGCUUGACGGAGCGACGCCGCGUGAGUGAUGAAGGUCUUCGGAUCGGAAAACUCUGUUAUUAGGGAAGAACCAAUGUGUAAGUAAAUAUGCACGUCUUGACGGUACCUAAUCAGAAAGCCCCGGCUAACUACGUG
rnacentral:rRNA from 1 species